rnacentral:lncRNA from 1 species
UUUCCUUAUAUUAGCUGCAAAUGAAGAAAUUUUAUUAUAAGAAUCAUUAUACAAUAAAAAGAAUUGGACAAUCGGUGCGUAGGAUCACUAAAUGGGAAAUUGACAUGGUCCUUUCCUCAUAGAAGUAUAACAACGGAAAAACUGAAAUAAAUGUGUUAAAAUAAAAUUCACAAAUGAAAGAUAUAUGUGGAUUAUUGGGCUCUCAAUUCAAGAAUCUCCUGGAUGAUGUUCAAAAACAUGCAUCCAAAACGCAACAGCAGCACAAGGCAGCACAGCAUCCCUUCCAGAAGCCAUCACCUUUUGACUUUGUUUCUACAGCUCCAUGUCCAUGGGGAUUUGGGGCAUCUCUUGUUGGAUAACCAGCAGGUGGUGGAGCCUGACUCGGCGCUGUAGAACAAGGUGGGGGAGGGUAUGCUGCUCCAGAGUUAGUUGAUGAACUCAUCUUUGAAUAAUAUUUCUAAGGGCCUUCAAAGUAUUCUAUGGAGGUAGAAGAAGAAAAUAAAAGAGAGAUGCUAGAAACAGAAGGGAAUGAAAACAAAGUGAAACACUUAGCUGGGUUUGGUUUGUUGGGUAGAUGAUAGAUGAGGCGCAAUUUAUAGAUCAAGAAAAGCAAGUGACAAUUAUUGGAGUGGUUGUUUCUGGGAAGAUGCGUAUUUGAUAUCUUACUAGUGGCUCUUACGCGGGCGGCUACAGUGUACACCGUGUACCUAUGUGGGGCAGUUCAGACCCCAAAAAGAAGAAGUAAGAAAGAAAGAAAGAAAACAAGACUACUAAGCAAAACGCAAUGGGCCCUGUUCUGUUCUCAUAAUUAGUUUUGGAGUGGACGACCUACGUAGGAAAGAGCAAUUAUAUUAUGGAAAAUACUUCCCUCCAUUCCCCGUUAGUAAAGGAAGAAGUUUCGACAUUUAUAUCAAUGGCAGUUUGAUAUAUGUGUAGAAGUUUUUCUUUUUGUGUUUUUUAUAAAUUAUUUUUGCACAUGUGUCAAAUUAUAAUUUACAAAAGGCUUUUUAUCACAAAACAUCCCUGACGUUAGCGAAACUAUCAAAUUACAUCCUUAAAGUUUUUUUUGUAUCACCUAUGGUCAGGGCGGAGGUGUGCUUAGGCCGGCAAGGGCCUUGGCCCUCCCAAAAUUCUGAAAUAGUAUAUAUAUUGCCUUUGCAUUGUACAACUUAGGACAAUAUAUAUAUAUAUAUAUAUAUAUAUUAAAUUAAUGCUUGUGGUCCCCCACAAUAAAGAGAAAGAGGGAUUUACAUUUUCCCCUCCAACUAAAAGACUCUUUCCUUAGCAAUAUGGCAAAGUUACUCCUAGAUUCUACCAACAUAAUUAAUAAAAAUUAAAAGAAACAGCCAAUCAAAUCUUUCUUUCACAAGUAUAUUUAAGAAAAUAGAGAAUUAAAGAUAAUCGGUUAUUUAUUUAUUUACAAGCUUAACACUGGGAAAGAAAUCAACAUUAAACCCUAAUAUAUUGGCCCCUUCACACAUAAAAUCCUAGCUCCGCCACUGCCCAUGGUCCUUAACGUUAAUAUGGGUGCUCUUAAAUAGUCCAUUCGUCAAAAAAAUCGUUAAAUCCCUAUUUUAUAAGAGAUAUAAUCAUCAAAUCAAUUCCUUUUGAACUCUUCAAUGCCUCGGACCCAUUUGCCACCAAUUUGGAACCAUUUCCCUCCAUUUCUCGUUGUUUUUUUUUUUUUUGCUAAUCAACAAAUAUCUAUUUUAAUUUUUUUUCUACAACUUCACCUUUUAUGCUUCCUGGGUGCUUGGAUAGCACCUUAGUAAAGUCGUUCGUCAAAGAGAUUGCUGUUUCUAUAAAGUCGUUCGUCAAAGAGAUUGCUGACUCUAAGUAAUCAAAUUUGAGAAGGAAAGUUAGCACAAACAAUGUAAUGGACCAAUCACAUAAGAAGGUUGUUAUUAAUCAGCAAUAAAAAACGAAGAACACUGAAAAGUACAGGCAUUCAAGCGUAAAUCAUAAAGAUCGCAUCACACAUCAAUCAUCAAUAUGUCAAAACAAGAGCAAAAAGAAUAGAGGGGGCGGGGGUGGUCGUGGGUCUUGAGAGGAGACAUUUACAGGGAAUUCUCACAAGCUCCCAUCCUAUAAAAAUAGAUGGAGCUAAGUCCCUUGCCUCAAGUAUUUAAUAAACAAUUUUAGAGCAACAAUUCAUCACAGGAAAGAUUUCGAACUAAAUAAAAAACAACACAAAAUAUAACAGUCCAAGAAUAUGGUGAAUAGGAGAAUUGAGAUUGUGAUACAAAUAAGUUCCUAAACAAGGCAUAUCAUUCACAGCACAAGAAGUUCAAAGAUUGUGAUACAAAUAGUUUGACUUUUUGACUUUAUUGUAUGGUCGAUCAAUAUGCCGCAUGGAUGGUUGGGAUUUUAUCUAUCCUUUGUAUGAGCCUUAGGCUUUUGUCUUAAGCAAAGAAUCUGAGAAAUACCCAAAACUGUCUAAGAAUUGCACCACAGAAGUUUUACCCAAACAACUACUCCAUCUUCCUCUGUUUUUCAUUCUGAAACUCUUCCUCAAAUCUUCUAUUGUUUAUCUAUUAUGGUGGCAGUAUCGAAUCGAAUGACAUAAGGGUUCUAUUAGAUUGAACAGCCAAUAUACAUUUUCCACAUGUUUGGUCACACGUUGUCCCACAUCAUCAACUGAUGACAUUGCAUACCCCACCCAGCCUAAAAUACAGUUAAUAACUUCAGAAUCCGAGUUCAUGUUUUCUUUCUUGUUUUCUUUUCAUUUUUUUCAAGCAAAUUCGUGAAUGUACGGUGUUAAUAUCAUAACGUGAAACCAUUUAAUACUCACAAAAACUUGUCUCUUUUAUUUGAACAAAUUAAAGAAUUUUACUAUACGAAUAAUGCAACAACAAGAAUUACAUAAUCGAAUAAUAACGCAAAAGUUACAAAAAGUGAGGAAAACAUAAUUCACAAACGAAUAAAGAAAUAUAUGAUUAGUAACUGGGCUGAAUUCAAGAAUCACAUGGGAUGAUGAUGUUCAAAAACAAGCAUCCAAGAGACAACAACAACACAAGGCAGCACAACAUCCCUUCCAGAAGCCAUCACCCUUGGACUUGGUUUCUACAGGCCCAUGAUGAGCGGAAGCAGGAUUUGGAGCAUCUCUUGUGGGAUAACCAGCAGGUGGCGGAGCCUGCACGUAAUAGGAUCCGGGCGCCAUCGAGUAAGGUUGGGGAUGAGGAGGGUAUGCUGCUGCGGAAUUAGUCGACGAACUCAUCUUAGUUGAAAAAUAAUAAGCUGAUUAUUUCUAGUUUGGGUUUGGUUUGUAUUGGAUGGUUUGAUUUGAUGAAUGAAGCCCCAUUUUAUAUGUAUAUACAUGAAGAAAACCAGAUGGGAAUUGGAGUGAUUGUUCAUUUCCUGGAAGGUCAAUAAUUAGUGUCUUAACGCGGGUGGCAACACUACACCGCGUGCAAAUCCAAAAUGUAUGUGGAGAAGAAAAAUACAAAAUGUUAUUCUUCUUAUUACUUUUGGACUGGCCAGUGGAAGGUACGUAGGAAAGAGCAAAUCAUAUUAUAUCCAACUCGUGAGAGGAUAUCCAACAUACUUUAGCUUGGAAAAAAGCUUUGGCUACUUCUCAAACUAAAUGGGUUUUUCACACUUUUCAUUUUCAUUUUAUUUUUAUUAUUUCUGAGAUUCUUUUAACUUUUUUAUUUUAAAAUUUGACCAGUGUCAAAAUACCAUUUGUUUUGAGGAUGAGCUCCUUCUUAGUUUUUAAAGAGCCAACCUUUGUGCGUCUCGCUUUCUAGAAGUAUUCUUCAAGAUGGUAACCUCCUUAGUUGUUUGUAGGUUAAAGCCAAAACAACUUAGCAGUCACUUGAUAUUUAUCCUCUACAAAUAAAUUAUAGUUUCACACCUGGAUAAAAACUUUUUACAUUAAAUUUUUUAGUUUCUUUUUUUGCUGUCACAUUUGCAUCAAUGAUUUCAUUCACAUUUUAUAGUUAUAUAACACUAAUGUAAGUAAGGGCUUAGCCAAGUUGAUUAGAGCAGAUGUGUUCCUUAUUCUGCACUUGAGUUCAAAUCUCCCUUCUUAUAAUUUAGAUUAUAUUGAAAUAGAUUAUCGUUUGUAUCAAAAAUAACAAUAAUGCACACGUGGACACAUGACUUUUAUUAUAUUUUUUGCAAUUGUAUUUGUCCAAGAAAUUGUUUUCCAUAUCUGUAUAAUGAGAUUUUAAUACUCUUAUCAAACUGAAGAGCACAUAUAAGAGCAUCUCCAAUGCAAAUAUGUAAAAAUAAGGAUGUAAGUGACUUUUACAUCUUCGGUGGUAUCUUGAUUGGAAUAUUCCAAGAUGUAAAACCAAUUUUCAACCUGAAAUUUACUUUCACCCACUAGAGAGGUAAAAUGUCAAAAAGUGUAUAUUGUAUUUUUUGGACCGUCGGAUUUUUUUUCCUAUUGAAUUUAAUUAAUGUUAUGUUUAAUUUUAAUUUUUUAACGUCAUAAAGCUUUUCUAUUUAUUUUUUGCAUUUGAAUUCAUCCGACAUAUUAAGGAAAUGAAACAUCAGUAAUUGUUUUUUGUUUCGUAUUAUACUAGUUAAGGUUGUUGGGUUAAGCGAUAUGUCUCACAUUGGGAAUGUAAGCCUCUAUAAAAUAUCUUUUAUACAAUGACCAAUGCUUCAGUUGAUUCUAUACAUGUGACUCGUGCGCUAUCAGAAAAAAAAGAAUUGCAAUAACUAAAUGAUGGUGUGAGUUAGCCAUGAACUCCAGUUACUAGAUCUAAUCCUCUACAAAAAAAAAAAAUAAAAAAUUCCACAUAUUUUGACCAAUUCAAGGUGAAAAAUGGGGUUGCUCCCAGUAGAACUAGGAUAAAGUUGAGCCAAAAGAUCAUGAUUCAAGAAAAAUUCAUGGAUGAUUUCCUUAUAUUAGCUGCAAAUGAAGAAAUUUUAUUAUAAAAAUCAUUAUACAAUAAAAAGAAUUGGACAACCGGUACGUAGGAUCGCUAAAUAGGAAAUCGACAUGGUCCCUUCCUCAUAGAAGUAUAACAACGGAAAAACUGAAAUAAAUGUGUCUAAAAUAAAAUUCACAAACGAAAGAUAUAUGUGGAUUAUUGGGCUCUCAAUUCAAGAAUCUCCUGGAUGAUGUUCAAAAACAUGCAUCCAAAGCGCAACAGCAGCACAAGGCCGCACAGCAUCCCUUCCAGAAGCCAUCACCUUUUGACUUAGUUUCUACAGCUCCAUGUCCAUGGGGAUUUGGGGCAUCUCUUGUUGGAUAACCAGCAGGUGGUGGAGCCUGACCCGGCGUUGUAGAACAAGGUGGGGGAGGGUAUGCUGCUCCAGAGUUAGUUGAUGAACUCAUCUUUGAAUAAUAUUUCUAAAGGGCCUUCAAAGUAUUCUAUGGAGGUAGAAGAAGAAAAUAAAAGAGAGAUGCUAGAAACAGAAGGGAAUGAAAACAAAGUGAAACACUUAGCUGGGUUUGGUUUGUUGGGUAGAUGAUAGAUGAGGCGCAAUUUAUAGAUCAAGAAAAG